rnacentral:sRNA from 1 species
ACCUCCGGGGGCAGGAGGUUCGACUCGAGCGAAGCGAGAGAACGUUGCGUCAGCAACGGCCCGCAGGGCGAGCCACAAAGUGGCGAGUCAUCCUCUAUCACCGACCA